UACAGAGGUCCCAAGCGUUGUUCGGAUUCACUGGGCGUAAAGGGCGCGUAGGAGGUUGGGUAAGUCGGAUGUGAAAUCUCACCGCUUAACGGUGAAACUGCAUUCGAUACUGCUCGACUAGAGGAUCGGAGGGGAAAGCAGAAUUCUUGGUGUAGCGGUGAAAUGCGUAGAUAUCAAGAGGAAUACCAACAGCGUAGGCAGCUUUCUGGAAGAUACCUGACUCUGAGGCACGAAGGCCAGGGGAGCAAACGGG
rnacentral:rRNA from 1 species